rnacentral:rRNA from 1 species
UGGGGAAUUUUGGACAAUGGGGGCAACCCUGAUCCAGCCAUCCCGCGUGUGCGAUGAAGGCCUUCGGGUUGUAAAGCACUUUUGGCAGGGAAGAAACAGCCUGGGCUAAUAUCCCGGGCGACUGACGGUACCUGCAGAAUAAGCACCGGCUAACUACGUGCCAGCAGCCGCGGUAAUACGUAGGGUGCAAGCGUUAAUCGGAAUUACUGGGCGUAAAGCGUGCGCAGGCGGUUCGGAAAGAAAGGUGUGAAAUCCCAGGGCUUAACCUUGGAACUGCACUUUUAACUACCGGGCUAGAGUACGUCAGAGGGGGGUAGAAUUCCACGUGUAGCAGUGAAAUGCGUAGAGAUGUGGAGGCAUACCGAUGGCGAAGUCAGCCCCCUGGGAUGAUACUGACGCUCAUGCACGAAAGCGUGGGGAGCAAACA